rnacentral:lncRNA from 1 species
CCUGGUACCUUCCUUGUCUAACCACUUUGGCCCCCCCUGCUUUCAGGAUCCCUCUGAUAAAAAGGUGGUGGUUUGUGAUGAGAAGCUGAAGGUCCUGUUCGCGGGGCGGGAGCGAGUGGGAUUCCUUGAGAUCGCCAAGCUUCUCAACCCUCACUUCGUGAAGUGAUGAGGAGGAGCCAGGCCACUUCCAGGAAUCGAGUUAGCUUAUAUGGUUGGUUGGUUACUUGUGGCUGGCCUAGAGGGUGCGCGUGCGUUGGGUUUUGGUAGCCUGAGUUGGCUCGCUCGACUUUGUAGAAUGCUGUUGUUAGCUUUUAUUAGUAGCCUUCAGCUCGUAGCCUGGUAUGCAGUUAGCGUGUGUGGUGUUCUGCUAUGGUUUAAGUUUAACCACUGUCCAUAGUCAGUCAAUGUUAGCUUCCUUGUCCUUGCAAUGGAUGUUGCUGUGUGAAUUAUGGUCCAACAUGGAUUGGUUGCUCUGCUAUGGUUUAGUCACUGCCCAGUCAGUCUAUAUAUAUUUUUUGAUGGUAACAGUCAGUCUAUAUA